rnacentral:rRNA from 1 species
GUGAGGAAUCUUCCACAAUGGGCGAAAGCCUGAUGGAGCAACGCCGCGUGCAGGAUGAAGGCCUUCGGGUCGUAAACUGCUUUUAUAAGUGAAGAAUAUGACGGUAACUUAUGAAUAAGCACCGGCUAACUACGUGCCAGCAGCCGCGGUCAUACGUAGGGUGCAAGCAUUAUCCGGAGUGACUGGGCGUAAAGAGUUGCGUAGGUGGUUUGUUAAGUAGGUAGUGAAAUCUGGCGGCUCAACCGUACAGGCUAUUACCUAAACUGGCAAACUCGAGAAUGGUAGAGGUAACUGGAAUUUCUUGUGUAGGAGUGAAAUCCGUAGAUAUAAGAAGGAACACCAAUGGCGUAGGCAGGUUACUGGACCAUUUCUGACACUGAGGCACGAAAGCGUGGGGAGCGAACGGGAUUAGAUACCCGUGUAGUCC